rnacentral:piRNA from 1 species
UCCUGAGCUCAGUAANAAAUGGGGAUGCAGU